rnacentral:rRNA from 1 species
GGAAUCUUAGACAAUGGGCGCAAGCCUGAUCUAGCCAUGCCGCGUGAGCGAUGAAGGCCUUAGGGUUGUAAAGCUCUUUCACCGGGGAAGAUAAUGACGGUACCCGGAGAAGAAGCCACGGCUAACUCCGUGCCAGCAGCCGCGGUAAUACGGAGGGGGCUAGCGUUGUUCGGAAUUACUGGGCGUAAAGCGCGCGUAGGCGGGCUGUUAAGUCGGGGGUGAAAUCCCGGGGCUCAACCCCGGAACUGCCUCCGAUACUGGACGUCUCGAGGACGGGAGAGGCGAGUGGAAUGCCGAGUGUAGAGGUGAAAUUCGUAGAUAUUCGGCGGAACACCCGUGGCGAAGGCGGCUCGCUGGUCCGUUUCUGACGCUGAGGCGCGAAAGCGUGGGGAGCAAAC